rnacentral:rRNA from 1 species
GUCUACGGCCAUAUCACGCUGAACGUGCCAGAUCUCAUCUGAUCUCGGAAGCUAAGUAGGGUCGGGCCUGGUUAGUACUUGGAAGGGAGAAAGAAAUAUGAAAUCUGAAUAGACC